rnacentral:rRNA from 1 species
AGAGUUUGAUCCUGGCUCAGGAUGAACGCUGGCGGCGCGCCUAACACAUGCAAGUCGAACGGCACCUAUCUUCGGAUAGAAGCGAGUGGCGAACGGCUGAGUAACACGUGGAGAACCUGCCCCCUCCCCCGGGAUAGCCGCCCGAAAGGACGGGUAAUACCGGAUACCCCCGGGUGCCGCAUGGCGCCCGGGCUAAAGCCCCGACGGGAGGGGAUGGCUCCGCGGCCCAUCAGGUAGACGGCGGGGUGACGGCCCACCGUGCCGACAACGGGUAGCCGGGUUGAGAGACCGACCGGCCAGAUUGGGACUGAGACACGGCCCAGACUCCUACGGGAGGCAGCAGUGGGGAAUCUUGCGCAAUGGGGGCAACCCUGACGCAGCGACGCCGCGUGCGGGACGGAGGCCUUCGGGUCGUAAACCGCUUUCAGCAGGGAAGAGACGAGACUGUACCUGCAGAAGAAGCCCCGGCUAACUACGUGCCAGCAGCCGCGGUAAUACGUAGGGGGCGAGCGUUAUCCGGAUUCAUUGGGCGUAAAGCGCGCGUAGGCGGCCCGGCAGGCCGGGGGUCGAAGCGGGGGGCUCAACCCCCCGAAGCCCCCGGAACCUCCGCGGCUUGGGUCCGGUAGGGGAGGGUGGAACACCCGGUGUAGCGGUGGAAUGCGCAGAUAUCGGGUGGAACACCGGUGGCGAAGGCGGCCCUCUGGGCCGAGACCGACGCUGAGGCGCGAAAGCUGGGGGAGCGAACAGGAUUAGAUGCCCUGGUAGUCCCAGCCGUAAACGAUGGACGCUAGGUGUGGGGGGACGAUCCCCCCGUGCCGCAGCCAACGCAUUAAGCGUCCCGCCUGGGGAGUACGGCCGCAAGGCUAAAACUCAAAGGAAUUGACGG